rnacentral:rRNA from 1 species
CUGCCCAAGAGACUGGGAUAACACCUGGAAACAGAUGCUAAUACCGGAUAACAACACUAGACGCAUGUCUAGAGUUUGAAAGAUGGUUCUGCUAUCACUCUUGGAUGGACCUGCGGUGCAUUAGCUAGUUGGUAAGGUAACGGCUUACCAAGGCAAUGAUGCAUAGCCGAGUUGAGAGACUGAUCGGCCACAUUGGGACUGAGACACGGCCCAAACUCCUACGGGAGGCAGCAGUAGGGAAUCUUCCACAAUGGACGAAAGUCUGAUGGAGCAACGCCGCGUGAGUGAAGAAGGGUUUCGGCUCGUAAAGCUCUGUUGGUAGUGAAGAAAGAUAGAGGUAGUAACUGGCCUUUAUUUGACGGUAAUUACUUAGAAAGUCACGGCUAACUACGUGCCAGCAGCCGCGGUAAUACGUAGGUGGCAAGCGUUGUCCGGAUUUAUUGGGCGUAAAGCGAGUGCAGGCGGUUCAAUAAGUCUGAUGUGAAAGCCUUCGGCUCAACCGGAGAAUUGCAUCAGAAACUGUUGAACUUGAGUGCAGAAGAGGAGAGUGGAACUCCAUGUGUAGCGGUGG